AAUCAACGCUGGCGGCAGGCUUAACACAUGCAAGUCGAGCGGAGAUGAGGUGCUUGCACCUUAUCUUAGCGGCGGACGGGUGAGUAAUGCUUAGGAAUCUGCCUAUUAGUGGGGGACAACAUUCCGAAAGGAAUGCUAAUACCGCAUACGUCCUACGGGAGAAAGCAGGGGAUCUUCGGACCUUGCGCUAAUAGAUGAGCCUAAGUCGGAUUAGCUAGUUGGUGGGGUAAAGGCCUACCAAGGCGACGAGCUGUAGCGGGUCUGAGAGGAGGCUCCGCCACACUGGGAAUGAGACACGGCCCAGACUCCUACGGGAGGCAGCAGUGGGGAAUAUUGGACAAUGGGGGAAACCCUGAUCCAGCCAUGCCGCGUGUGUGAAGAAGGCCUUAUGGUUGUAAAGCACUUUAAGCGAGGAGGAGGCUACUGAGACUAAUACUCUUGGAUAGUGGACGUUACUCGCAGAAUAAGCACCGGCUAACUCUGUGCCAGCAGCCGCAGUAA
rnacentral:rRNA from 1 species